rnacentral:rRNA from 1 species
UCUAGCAUAUCAAUAAGCGGAGGAAAAGAAACUAACAAGGAUUCCCCUAGUAACUGCGAGUGAAGCGGGAAAAGCUCAAAUUUAAAAUCUGGCGGUCUUUGGCCGUCCGAGUUGUAGUCUGGAGAAGUGCUUUCCGCGCUGGACCGUGUAUAAGUCUCUUGGAACAGAGCGUCAUAGAGGGUGAGAAUCCCGUCUUUGACACGGACUACCAGUGCUUUGUGAUGCGCUCUCAAAGAGUCGAGUUGUUUGGGAAUGCAGCUCAAAAUGGGUGGUGAAUUCCAUCUAAAGCUAAAUAUUGGCGAGAGACCGAUAGCGAACAAGUACCGUGAGGGAAAGAUGAAAAGCACUUUGGAAAGAGAGUUAAACAGUACGUGAAAUUGCUGAAAGGGAAACGCUUGAAGUCAGUCGCGUCUGCCGGAACUCAGCCUUCCUUUUGGUUGGUGCACUUUCUGGUAGACGGGCCAGCAUCGAUUUUGACCGUAGGAUAAGGGCUGGAGAAAUGUGGCACCUUCGGGUGUGUUAUAGUCUUCAGUCGCAUACUACGGUUGGGAUCGAGGACCGCAGCGCGCCGCAAGGCAGGGGUUCGCCCACUUUCGCGCUUAGGAUGCUGGCAUAAUGGCUUUAAACGACCCGUCUUGAAACACGGACCAAGGAGUCUAACAAACCUGCGAGUGUUUGGGUGGAAAACCCGAGCGCGUAAUGAAAGUGAAAGUUGAGACCUCUGUCGUGGAGGGCAUCGACGCCCGGACCUGACGUUCUCUGACGGAUCCGCGGUAGAGCAUGUUUGUUGGGACCCGAAAGAUGGUGAACUAUGCCUGAAUAGGGUGAAGCCAGAGGAAACUCUGGUGGAGGCUCGUAGCGAUUCUGACGUGCAAAUCGAUCGUCAAAUUUGGGUAUAGGGGCGAAAGACUAAUCGAACAAACAAAGUAACUGGUUCCUGCCGAGUUU